AGAGUUUGAUCCUGGCUCAGAACGAACGCUGGCGGCGUGGAUAAGACAUGCAAGUCGAACGCUGAUUUGCGGGUAGCAAUAUUCGUAAGUCGGAGUGGCGCAAGGGUGUGUAACACGUGGGUAAUCUGCCGUGAAGUCUGGAAUAACUUGCUGAAAGGCGAGCUAAUACCGGAUGUGAACGCAAGUUCAAAGUUGGGGAC
rnacentral:rRNA from 1 species